CCCUUAGAUGUCCUGGGCCGCACGCGCGCUACACUGAACGGAUCAGCGCGUUUUCCCUUCCCGAGAGGGACGGGUAACCUGCUGAACCCCGUUCGUGGUAGGGAUCGGGGCUUGCAAUUAUUCCCCGUGAACCAGGAAUGCCCAGUAAGUGCAAGUCAUAAGCUUGCGUUGAUUACGUCCCUGCCCUUUGUACACACCGCCCGUCGCUACUACCGAUUGAACGUUUUAGUGAGGUACUCGGACUGAGCCUCAGAAGAUUCACGUCUUUUGUGCUGCUCGGGAAGAUUCCCAAACUUGAGCGUUUAGAGGAAGUAAAAGCCGUAACA
rnacentral:rRNA from 1 species